rnacentral:rRNA from 1 species
CUAAGUUUGAUGGCGACCGGCGCACGGGUGAGUAACACGUAUCCAACCUGCCGAUGACUCGGGGAUAGCCUUUCGAAAGAAAGAUUAAUACCCGAUGGCAUAGUUCUUCCGCAUGGUGGAACUAUUAAAGAAUUUCGGUCAUCGAUGGGGAUGCGUUCCAUUAGGUUGUUGGCGGGGUAACGGCCCACCAAGCCUUCGAUGGAUAGGGGUUCUGAGAGGAAGGUCCCCCACAUUGGAACUGAGUCACGGUCCAAACUCCUACGGGAGGCAGCAUG